AUCAGAAGCGAGAAUGUUGACAUGAGUAGCGAUAAAGAGGGUGAGAGACCCUCUCGCCGUAAGUCCAAGGGUUCCUGCUUAAAGCUAAUCUGAGCAGGGUAAGCCGGCCCCUAAGGCGAGGCCGAAAGGCGUAGUCGAUGGGAACCACGUUAAUAUUCGUGGGCCAGGAGGAAGUGACGGAUCUCGAAGGUAGUUUGCCCUUAUCGGAUUGGGUGGGCUGCUCAGAGGUUCCAGGAAAUAGCCCUCCAUCAGACCGUACCCUAAACCGACACAGGUGGACUGGUAGAGUAUACCAAGGCGCUUGAGAGAACCACGUUAAAGGAACUCGGCAAAAUGCCUCCGUAAGUUCGCGAGAAGGAGGCCCCAUAUGUGCGCAAGCAUGUGUGGGGGGCACAAACUAGGGGGUGGCGACUGUUUACUUAAAACACAGGGCUGUGCGAAGCCGUAAGGCGACGUAUACAGUCUGACGCCUGCCCGGUGCUGGAAGGUUAAAAGGAGGGGUGCAAGCUCUGAAUUGAAGCCCCAGUAAACGGCGGCCGUAACAAUAACGGUCCUAAGGUAGCGAAAUUCCUUGUCGGGUAAGUUCCGACCUGCACGAAUGGCGUAACGAUCUCCCCGCUGUCUCUAACGUGGACUCAGCGAAAUUGAACUGUGUGUCAAGAUGCACACUACCCGCGGUUAGACGGAAAGACCCCAUGCACCUUUACUCCAGCUUUGCACUGGUAUCAGGAUUGUGAUGUGCAGGAUAGGUGGUAGGCAUCGAAGCGGGGACGCCAGUUCUCGUGGAGCCUCCCUUGAGAUACCACCCUUCGCCAUCUUGAUAUCUAACCGCGGCCCGUUAUCCGGGUCCGGGACCCUGCAUGGUGGGGAGUUUGACUGGGGCGGUCGCCUCCCAAACAGUAACGGAGGCGCGCGAAGGUAGGCUCAGACCGGUCGGAAAUCGGUCGUUGAGUGCAAUGGCAGACGCCUGCCUGACUGCAAGUCUGACAAGACGAGCAGAGACGAAAGUCGGUCAUAGUGAUCCGGUGGUCCCAAGUGGGAGGGCCAUCGCUCAACGGAUAAAAGGUACGCUGGGGAUAACAGGCUGAUGAUGCCCAAGAGUCCAUAUCGACGGCAUCGUUUGGCACCUCGAUGUCGGCUCAUCUCAUCCUGGGGCUGGAGCAGGUCCCAAGGGUAUGGCUGUUCGCCAUUUAAAGAGGUACGUGAGCUGGGUUUAGAACGUCGUGAGACAGUUCGGUCCCUAUCUGCCGUGGGUGUAGGAGACUUGAGAAGAGUUGCCCCUAGUACGAGAGGACCGGGGUGAACGAACCACUGGUGGACCAGUUGUCGUGCCAACGGCAGUGCUGGGUAGCUAUGUUCGGACAGGAUAACCGCUGAAGGCAUCUAAGCGGGAAGCCCCCUUCAAAACAAGGUCUCCCUUGAGAGCCGUG
rnacentral:rRNA from 1 species